GACCCCCCCCCGACCCGCCGUGGUUCUGUCUGAUAUGUUUGAUAUUAGGUUGUUUUACUAAAACUCGACUAAAUAUCAUACAUAUUGCUACAGCGCCCUGGCCACGCCCCCUGCAGCUUC
rnacentral:pre_miRNA from 14 species